rnacentral:rRNA from 1 species
AGCGAACGCUGGCGGCAGGCUUAACACAUGCAAGUCGAACGCCCGGGCAACCGGGAGUGGCAGACGGGUGAGUAACACGUGGGAACGUACCCUUUGGUUCGGAAUAACUCAGGGAAACUUGAGCUAAUACCGGAUAAGCCCUUUUGGGGAAAGAUUUAUCGCCGAAGGAUCGGCCCGCGUCCGAUUAGCUAGUUGGUGAGGUAACGGCUCACCAAGGCGACGAUCGGUAGCUGGUCUGAGAGGAUGAUCAGCCACACUGGGACUGAGACACGGCCCAGACUCCUACGGGAGGCAGCAGUGGGGAAUAUUGGACAAUGGGGGCAACCCUGAUCCAGCCAUGCCGCGUGAGUGAUGAAGGCCCUAGGGUUGUAAAGCUCUUUCGGCGGGGACGAUAAUGACGGUACCCGCAGAAGAAGCCCCGGCUAACUUCGUGCCAGCCGCCGCCGUAACAC